UACGUAGGGGCUAGCGUUAUCCGGAAUUACUGGGCGUAAAGGGUGCGUAGGUGGUUUCUUAAGUCAGAGGUGAAAGGCUACGGCUCAACCGUAGUAAGCCUUUGAAACUGGGAAACUUGAGUGCAGGAGAGGAGAGUGGAAUUCCUAGUGUAGCGGUGAAAUGCGUAGAGAUCGGGAGGAACACCAGUGGCGAAGGCGGGUAACUGGACUGCAACUGACGCUGAGGCGCGAAAGUGUGGGGAGCAAACAGGAUUAGAUACCCUGGUAGUCCCUGAGCGGG
rnacentral:rRNA from 1 species